UGGGGAAUAUUGCACAAUGGGCGCAAGCCUGAUGCAGCAACGCCGCGUGAGGGAUGACGGCCUUCGGGUUGUAAACCUCUUUUAGCAGGGAAGAAGCGAAAGUGACGGUACCUGCAGAAAAAGCGCCGGCUAACUACGUGCCAGCAGCCGCGGUAAUACGUAGGGCGCAAGCGUUAUCCGGAAUUAUUGGGCGUAAAGAGCUCGUAGGCGGUUUGUCGCGUCUGCUGUGAAAUCCCGAGGCUCAACCUCGGGUCUGCAGUGGGUACGGGCAGACUAGAGUGCGGUAGGGGAGAUUGGAAUUCCUGGUGUAGCGGUGGAAUGCGCAGAUAUCAGGAGGAACACCGAUGGCGAAGGCAGAUCUCUGGGCCGUAACUGACGCUGAGGAGCGAAAGGGUGGGGAGCAAACAGGCUUAGAUACCCUGGUAGUCCACCCGUAAACGUUGGGAACUAGUUGUGGGGUCCAUUCCACGGAUUCCGUGACGCAGCUAACGCAUUAAGUUCCCCGCCUGGGGAGUACGGCCGCAAGGCUAAAACUU
rnacentral:rRNA from 1 species